CCAGACUCCUACGGGAGGCAGCAGUGGGGAAUAUUGCGCAAUGGGCGAAACCCUGACCCAGCGACGCCGCGUGAGGGAAGACGGUCUUCGGAUUGUAAACCUCUGUCUUUGGGGACGAAAAAGGACGGUACCCAAGGAGGAAGCUCCGGCUAACUACGUGCCAGCAGCCGCGGUAAUACGUAGGGAGCGAGCGUUGUCCGGAAUUACUGGGUGUAAAGGGAGCGUAGGCGGGGAUGCAAGUUGGGUGUCAAAACUACCGGCUCAACCGAUAGUCGCACUCAAAACUGCAACUCUUGAGUGAAGUAGAGGCAGGCGGAAUUCCUAGUGUAGCGGUGAAAUGCGUAGAUAUUAGGAGGAACACCAGUGGCGAAGGCGGCCUGCUGGGCUUUUACUGACGCUGAGGCUCGAAAGUGUGGGGAGCAAACAGGAUUAGAUACCCGAGUA
rnacentral:rRNA from 1 species